rnacentral:lncRNA from 1 species
CCCCCCCAUUUUUUUUUUCUCAGCAUUAUCGAAUGCUCAUGAUUGGCUAUGAUUUGGAUUUAUGAGUGAGCGGAUGUAUGGAUAAAGUAUCAUUGAUAUCUGAUCAAAGGAUUGAAGGAAUUUAAUUUAUAAUUAUAUAAGUUUCACUAAUUAUUAUUGAAAUUUGACAUUAUGGAUGUUGAGGUUAUAAUGAAUUAUUUUAGGCCUUGCA